GGGCUGGUGGUCUAGUUGGUUAUGACAUCUCCUUUACACGGAGAAAAUCGGCGGUUCGAAUCCGCCCCAGCCCA
rnacentral:tRNA from 1 species